UACGGAGGGGGCUAGCGUUGUUCGGAAUUAUUGGGCGUAAAGCGCGUGUAGGCGGCUUUGCAAGUCGGGUGUGAAAGCCCUCAGCUUAACUGAGGAAGUGCGCCCGAAACUGCAUUGCUUGAGUACCGGAGAGGAUGGCGGAAUUCCCCAAGUAGAGGUGAAAUUCGUAGAUAUGGGGAGGAACACCGGUGGCGAAGGCGGCCAUCUGGACGGAUACUGACGCUGAGACGCGAAAGCGUGGGUAGCAAACAGG
rnacentral:rRNA from 1 species